UGGGGAAUAUUGGACAAUGGGCGAAAGCCUGAUCCAGCCAUGCCGCGUGUGUGAAGAAGGUCUUCGGAUUGUAAAGCACUUUAAGUUGGGAGGAAGGGCAGUAAAUUAAUACUUUGCUGUUUUGACGUUACCGACAGAAUAAGCACCGGCUAACUCUGUGCCAGCAGCCGCGGUAAUACAGAGGGUGCAAGCGUUAAUCGGAAUUACUGGGCGUAAAGCGCGCGUAGGUGGUUCGUUAAGUUGGAUGUGAAAUCCCCGGGCUCAACCUGGGAACUGCAUUCAAAACUGACGAGCUAGAGUAUGGUAGAGGGUGGUGGAAUUUCCUGUGUAGCGGUGAAAUGCGUAGAUAUAGGAAGGAACACCAGUGGCGAAGGCGACCACCUGGACUGAUACUGACACUGAGGUGCGAAAGCGUGGGGAGCAAACAGGAUUAGAUACCCCAGUAGUCCCUGAGCGGGCUGGCAAGGCGCAU
rnacentral:rRNA from 1 species